AUAUAAAAGGGGAUGCGCACUGGGGCUUUCCAUCAUUCGGAGUUAUUCCUUAUCUCUUCUUUCUUAUAAGUCUCCUAGGUUGUCUGAAUAGCUCUCUUCCUUUUCUUAUUAGGACAAGUCCUAAAAUAGUAAGGAUAGAUAUGAUUUUAGGACAAGGGUCUAGGAAGAGAAUUAGGAAAGGCAAGGAGGAAGAACGAUAGAGAUAGAAAGGCU
rnacentral:lncRNA from 1 species